GGGGUUUCAUCGUGUUAGCCAGGAUGGUCUUGAUCUCCUGAUGCUUGUGAUCCACCUGCCUCUGCCUCUGCCUCCCAAAAUGCUGGGAUUACAGGCGUGAGUAAAGUAUUUUCAAUUCAGUCAGAUACUAAUGGGUAUGAUCGUGUGCCUAGCAUGGAGGAAGCACUGAGGUGCCAAGGGUUCUCCUGGCAUUGCUCCCUGAUGGAAGUUCUGUUCUUCCCUGAGGAGGCUGAGGCCCGGGAGUUGGCAUCAUCCCCAGCAGUAAGUGCAGGAACAGGACUUGAACUCAGGUGGUCUGACUGCAGAAGUCUGUGUAUGUGCUCCUAAAAUACUGUGCUUUUAGGUCUCUGAAAGAAAAUUAUGACAUAAGGAUAACUGAAAGUUCGCUGUUUAUUCCCCUUCAUAACAUCUUAAGUUUGAGGUUGGGAAUUAAGAGAAAGUCUUGAAUUAGAGACUUAGCUCUGGCUAAGGAAAUGAAUCCCACCUACCUCAUUUAAAUUUGGAUUUAUUUUGCCCCACAAGUAUUUCUAUUUUAUAAAGAAAUCAAGUCUUUAAAAAGAAUUUGUCCAAAUAAGUUACAGAGAGAGUAAAUUGCCAGCCUGGUAUUUGAACCCCAAUUGAUGUAACUCCAAAGCCCAGGCUCCUAACCACUAUGCUAGUGUAAUUAACAUUCAUCAGCAACAUUGGGUGCUGUGUGCUAGAGGCUGUGCUGGGAAUAUAGAAAUGAAAGCAAACAGACUAGUCCCCUGCUGUCAUGCAGCUUACAUCCUAGUACGAAGAGAUGCAUAAUAGAAUACAAAUAAAAUGUUUGCAGGGCAAGGAAGACUCUUAAAUAAGGUGAUAGGAUGGCCAGGAAAAAGCUCUCUAUGGAGGAGACAGCUCACACCUGAGUGAUGAGAAGCAGUAGGCAGACUAUAUUCUAGUUGGAGAAUUGUCCAGACAAAAGGAAUGACAAACGCAAAGACCUUGAGCUGGUAAUGAGCUUGGAAUAAGGAGUGGAGAGGCCAUCUGCCUUGAAAAGUUGGGAGGCAUGGUCAGAUUACAUAGGGCCUGGAUGGCUCUGGUGGAGGAUUUGGGUUUCAUGCUGAGUGCUGUAGAAAGUCUUCUGAAGGUUUUAUGCAGAAAAAUGGUCAUUUUCAUGUUUUUAAAGGAUCAUUAUGUCUGCAGUUCAAAAAACUCCCUUGUAAAGGGGAGUCAGCAAUUCUAGCUGGGAGAUGGCUGUAGCAACCUUGGGUCAAGUUUAGUGGGCAGUAAUGGAGAAGGAAAGCCAUGGAUGGACUUGGGAUAUGUUUUGAAGAGGUAGACCCUCCAAUUUAAAUGAACUUUUCAGUGAAUAAUUUGUAUUAAUUCUUCAGGACUACUACUAAAAACUAACAGAUAAAGAAUGUUCACCAUGCUAAUUUUUUUAAAUAAGAAUGUUGUGAUUAGUGUUAGAAGAAGAUACUGGGAAAAUAAAUUUUUCCAUCAUGUACAUUAUAAAAUUUUCUUUUUAGUUCAAUGAAAAUUGUUAAUUGUCUGUGGGAAGAGUUUUAGACAUUAAUCCUGACCGGUAGAGGAGGUGAGAGUGAGCAUUGUUGAAGCAAUGUGUGUUACAGCAAACAUCUCUGUGUCUCUAGGGCCAUCAAUAAAUUUAAAUUAGGAAGCAAAACAAUGUAAAUGACUUCUACUAACAAGCACUUAAAAGAAUACAUCUUAUUCAUUCAACUUGGCUCUCUAAUGAGCAAUUUUAUAUUUUCUUAAGCACAGGUAAGAUUUACCACAGUUUUACAGACAUAGUAAAAUAAGCUAUAUUUGGCAAAAUAGAUGAAUAAAUUACCUUCGGGAAUACUUUACCUAAUGUAAGACUCUUAAGCAUUUCAUUAUUGAGAUUUUUGGUAGGGGAGUCACUUAAUUUGAAGAUUUUCUGGUAAGGGUUAGGAUGAUCGUUUUCUAAGUAUUCUGGACUAUUUAAGUUAUUUUAUGCAGUGCAACAUAGCGCCACCCUCCCAAUAGGUCUAUUUGUUUAUAAACCUUGUUUUGGAUCUACAGAUGUAGAUUUGAAUUUUAAUUUGGAUCUCCUUAAUCAAAUGUGUACUAUGUAAUUUAAAUGAAAUUAAAUAAUAAGCUAGUGACAAAAUUUGAAAUAUUUUGACAUCUAAUAUCUUUACCUUCCGAACGAUUUACUCUUUUUUUUUGAGAUGGAGUCUCACUUUGUCACCCAGGCUGGAGUGCAGUGGCACAACCUCGGCUCACUGCAACCUUUGCCUUCCAGGUUCAAGAUUCUCCUGCUUCAGCUUCCUGAGUAGCUGGGCCCAUAGACAUCUGCC
rnacentral:lncRNA from 1 species